rnacentral:tRNA from 1 species
AGCUCAGUGGUAGAGCAUGUGCUUAGCAUGCAAGAGGUCGUGGGUUCAAUUCCCAGC